ACUCAAUAGAUACCCGGGUAGUCCACGCCCUAAACGAUGUCUACUAGUUGUUGGUGGAGUAAAAUCCAUGAGUAAACGCAGCUAAACGCGUGGAGUAGACCGCCUGGGGAGUACGGUCGCAAGAUUAAAACUCAAAGGAAUUGACGGGGGCCGCACAAGCGGUGGAUUAUGUGGAUUAAAUUACGAUGCAACGCGAAAAACCUUAACCUGGCCUUGACAUGCCACUAACGAAGCAGAGAUGCAUUAGGUGCCCGUAACGGGAAAGUGGACACAGGUGCUGCAUGGCUGUCGUCAGCUCGUGUCGUGAGAUGUUGGGUUAAGUCCCGCAACGAGCGCAACCCUUGCCAUUAAUUGCCAUCAUUUAGUUGGGCACUUUAAUGGGACUG
rnacentral:rRNA from 1 species